UCGGACGAGCUCUGGCUCGAGCUCUUCCUCGGACCUUCGGGAGGAUCAUCCGACCCUUCUAUCGCGUCGAUUCUGUAAGAAAACCAGUGGCUGAGAACCAGUUGCUCUAACACGGAGUGAUCUGUGUCCCCCAGGAUGGCUUUCAGCUCUCGUGUGAUCCAGGGUCUCAAACGACGCUCGGCUCUCGUCUUUGCGUCGAGAUCAUACGGCCUUAACUGCGAAUAGAAACACCAACGAGUCAACAAACUGUCCUGAGAGAAAGUUUCAAAGCCAGUCACACACGAAACUUACUUCCAUACGCUUCUUCACAUUCAACGGAACGGCUCGAAGACCCUUCCUGUAUAUGCUGCAAGCAACACGCGGAAAGUGUCAACCAAG
rnacentral:lncRNA from 1 species